CCUACGGGAGGCAGCAGUGAGGAAUAUUGGUCAAUGGACGAGAGUCUGAACCAGCCAAGUAGCGUGAAGGAUGACUGCCCUAUGGGUUGUAAACUUCUUUUAUAUGGGAAUAAAACGUUCCACGUGUGGGAUUUUGUAUGUACCAUAUGAAUAAGGAUCGGCUAACUCCGUGCCAGCAGCCGCGGUAAUACGGAGGAUCCGAGCGUUAUCCGGAUUUAUUGGGUUUAAAGGGAGCGUAGGUGGAUUGUUAAGUCAGUUGUGAAAGUUUGCGGCUCAACCGUAAAAUUGCAGUUGAAACUGGCAGUCUUGAGUACAGUAGAGGUGGGCGGAAUUCGUGGGGUAGCGGUGAAAUGCUUAGAGAUCACGAAGAACUCCGAUUGCGAAGGCAGUUCACUGGACUGCAACUGACACUGAGGCUCGAAAGUGUGGGUAUCAAACAGGAUUAGAUACCCCAGUAGUC
rnacentral:rRNA from 1 species